rnacentral:lncRNA from 1 species
GAAGUAUUUGUCCCGGUAAGCAUUUCAAAAGCUUGCAACUGGUGUUUGAAACUCCAUCACUUCAGAACGCCAACCCUCAUCUUGCUUUUGUUGUCACCUCGACAAAUAUCAGAAAGUUUUUGUACGCCCCUGGGCCUCAUAGACCCAGCAGAAGGCAGUAAAAUAUUUUGGAUAGGAUGUUGUAUCCUGCUUUUUGUUUACUCUAACCA